UGUAUUACAGAGGUGGCUCUGU
rnacentral:misc_RNA from 1 species